UACGUAGGAGGCAAGCGUUGUCCGGAAUUAUUGGGCGUAAAGCGCGCGCAGGCGGUUUCUUAAGUCUGAUGUGAAAGCCCCCGGCUCAACCGGGGAGGGUCAUUGGAAACUGGGAAACUUGAGUGCAGAAGAGGAAAGUGGAAUUCCAAGUGUAGCGGUGAAAUGCGUAGAGAUUUGGAGGAACACCAGUGGCGAAGGCGACUUUCUGGUCUGUAACUGACGCUGAGGCGCGAAAGCGUGGGGAGCAAACAGG
rnacentral:rRNA from 1 species